CCUACGGGAUGCAGCAGUGGGGAAUCUUGCGCAAUGGGCGAAAGCCUGACGCAGCCACGCCGCGUGCGGGAUGAAGGCCCUAGGGUUGUAAACCGCUUUUAACAGGAACGAAAAUGACGGUACCUGUAGAAUAAGGUGCGGCCAACUACGUGCCAGCAGCCGCGGUGACACGUAGGCACCAAGCGUUGUCCGGAUUUAUUGGGCGUAAAGAGCUCGUAGGCGGUUCAGUAAGUCGGGUGUGAAAACUCUGGGCUUAACCCAGAGACGCCACUCGAUACUAUUGUGACUAGAGUUCGGUAGGGGAGCGGGGAAUUCCUAGUGUAGCGGUGAAAUGCGCAGAUAUUAGGAGGAACACCGGUGGCGAAGGCGCCGCUCUGGGCCGAUACUGACGCUGAGGAGCGAAAGCGUGGGUAGCAAACAGGAUUAGAUACCCUGGUAGUCCACGCCGUAAACGGUGGGCACUAGGUGUGGGUUCCAACCAACGGAAUCCGCGCCGUCGCUAACGCAUUAAGUGCCCCGCCUGGGGAGGUACGGCCGCGAAGUAAACGUACAAGAAGUAGACGGCGUGAGACGNGCCGACGGCGACGACGAGGGAGGUAGG
rnacentral:rRNA from 1 species